UACGUAGGGGGCAAGCGUUGUCCGGAUUUAUUGGGCGUAAAGAGCGUGUAGGCGGCCUGGUAGGUCAGCUGUGAAAACUCGAGGCUCAACCUCGAGACGCCGAUGGAAACCAUCCAGCUAGAGUCCGGAAGAGGAGAGUGGAAUUCCUGGUGUAGCGGUGAAAUGCGCAGAUAUCAGGAAGAACACCCGUGGCUAAGGCGGGUCUCUGGGCCGAUACUGACGCUGAGGAGCGAAAGCGUGGGGAGCAAACAGG
rnacentral:rRNA from 1 species